rnacentral:rRNA from 1 species
GACGAACGCUGGCGGCGUGCCUAACACAUGCAAGUCGAGCGAGGAGAUCCCUUCGGGGUGAACCUAGCGGCGGACGGGUGAGUAACACGUGGGCAACCUGCCUUGUAGAGGGGAAUAGCCUUCCGAAAGGAAGAUUAAUACCGCAUAACAUUACACUUUCGCAUGAAGGAGUAAUUAAAGGAGCAAUCCGCUACAAGAUGGGCCCGCGGCGCAUUAGCUAGUUGGUGAGGUAACGGCUCACCAAGGCGACGAUGCGUAGCCGACCUGAGAGGGUGAUCGGCCACAUUGGGACUGAGACACGGCCCAAACUCCUACGGGAGGCAGCAGUGGGGAAUAUUGCACAAUGGGCGAAAGCCUGAUGCAGCAACGCCGCGUGAACGAUGAAGGUCUUCGGAUCGUAAAGUUCUGUCUUCAGGGACGAUAAUGACGGUACCUGAGGAGGAAGCCACGGCUAACUACGUGCCAGCAGCCGCCGUAACAC